CUAAAACCCUCUAUAUAAAUUAAGCUUUUUCCUCUCUCGCUCUCCAGUACCUUCUUCAUAGUCUUCUUUUUAUCUUCUGAUUCGCUGUAUCCAGUUGACUUUAUUCGUUAUCGAUUGAUUGUCUAGAGUUUUUACUAGUUUGAUAAAAUCGCCCAGUGAAGAAGAAUUCCCAAAAGAUAGGAAGUGCCGUAUGACACUUUAAAUGCAGCGGCGAACUGAAUCGAGGAUUGCAUCCGGUUUUUUGAUUUCUCAAUCCUCCGUUUUAGUCUUCACCCCCCAUGUACCGUACGCGGAUCCUAACCCGGGUCCGUUUACGAAUCAUGCUCGAAGCUAACCGGACCGUGUUUGGUUAUCACGACCGUACUUCCCACCGUUUCUGUGUUCGCUUCUGUUGUGUUUGAUUUUAAACGGGUUUCUGAGGGUUUUUAUUUAUUUAUUUUAUUACUAAUUGUCCGAUGCCACGUCGACGAUAGCGUAUGGGCUAUGAUCGUCGAUGCUACAUUGGACAAAAACAGAUGUACGUGUUUCGCUUUUCUGAUAGGAACCUGUGGACUUUGAUUCUUGUGGUCUACGGAGCCAUUUCGGCGAUUACAUUCUUUAAAUUAGUUAUAGUGAUUAGUGGGAAGUAAAUUGAUGAUGAUCAUUGCUAAAAUUUGGAACUACCGUCUGAGUUUAAUUACUUUGAUGUGAAAAACGCUGGCUUUACUGAGAUUUAUUUCCCUUAUUUAAAAAAAAAAGAUUGUUGUUUUCUUUUUUUGAAUCUGUUAAUGUUUUGUUGGGACAGUGACGAUUGAUAUUAGGUCUCGUUCGUCGUAAUAUCGGCCUUAAAAAAGCCGAUUUGCCGACCAUUCUGUUAUAUCACCACCCAUAUUCUGAGUCCUUUUUUUUUGUAUGUUUGUUUUCUUUGUCUUUUGAUUGGCCGAUGAUUAAAUCGAUUAAGACAAGCAUAUGUCUGAAUUAAACCCUGUUGAUAAGCCUAAUCUUCUCAAUGAGGCCGAUUUAUUACUUCUUUUUUUGUUGUUUGGUUUAGUAGGAGGAAGGGGUCAAGUGAUGAAUAAUUAUGCAUAGUUCAGAUGAUAAUAAUCUCCAUGAUUACAAUUUUGAAGCAUAGUCUUUCGCUCCUAUCUGAUGACCCUCUCCUUGAUAUUUGUUUUCUCUGCAUUUGCAUGAAAACUUUCAUUUAGUGAAGACUGCAAGCCCUAACAAUGAUGUGAUCAUCAAGAGUAUUCAGGUGGUCAGGUGGUCUUAACCAAGCAGUUCCGAAAGAAGUCUUCUCGGCUUGAAGACUGCAAGCCUAAUAAUGAUGACGAUCCAAUGCAAUAUAUUCAAGUGAAAUUGCAACAAACUUGAAAGUCCUGAAAUUGCAACAAACUUGCUAAUACUUGAAGAUACUCAAAUAAAUUCGUAUGUGUGGCGGAAACCAAAAUUAUAUAUACAAUUUUGCUGUGAGCAUGUUCUUGUGACGAUCUCAAGAGGAGGGUGCAAAGCUCGUUAGGUUUGACAUAUCUUCGUUUUAUUCUCCAGUACUUGUCUAUUCCCUUUGUACCCAUUACAAGAUCAAAGAGCAAAUCCUUGACAGAAA